rnacentral:rRNA from 1 species
ACGGGAGGCAGCAGUGGGGAAUAUUGCACAAUGGGCGCAAGCCUGAUGCAGCGAUGCCGCGUGAGGGAAGAAGGUUUUCGGAUUGUAAACCUCUGUCAACAGGGACGAAAAUGACGGUACCUGUGAAGGAAGCUCCGGCUAACUACGUGCCAGCAGCCGCGGUAAUACGUAGGGAGCAAGCGUUAUCCGGAAUUACUGGGUGUAAAGGGAGUGUAGGCGGGACUGUAAGUCAGAUGUGAAAUAUGCCGGCUCAACUGGCAGACUGCAUUUGAAACUGCGGUUCUUGAGUGUUGGAGAGGCUAACGGAACUCCUAGUGUAGCGGUGAAAUGCGUAGAUAUUAGGAAGAACACCAGUGGCGAAGGCGGUUAGCUGGACAAUAACUGACGCUGAGGCGCGAAAGCGUGGGUAGCAAACAGGAUUAGAUACCCUGGUA